CUUUUGAACACAAGCAAGCACUUCACUCCAUUUAUCCUCGGACAAGCCCUCCUUGAACUCAGCCAAAUUAUAAAAUCCUUUUGCUGUAUUUUGCUGUAUUUUGCUGAGAGGAUUCGAGGUCCCUGUUGGGGUGCCACUUGUGGGUGGUCUCUCUAAAGGGAGACCUGAGACCCUGGAGAGAACCAACCUUUAUAGAAAGAAAAGGAGACAGCCUGGGGGACAAGCAGAAGUUUACUCCUCUGACACUAUUUGACAAUCACAAAGGAAAGAAGUAAGGCUUUUAUACAGGCCAACUUGAGCACCAGAGGGAUGUCACAGAGGAAGUGGUUGAUGAUAUUAGAUCCACAGAAGGGCAGAAUGAAAAUCUGCACUGUCUGCUCCAUCUGGACUGGGAAGCUGAAGAUACAGGAGCCAGUGACCAGCUGGAUACAGACCUUGUGGUUCAUGAUCAGCGGAUACUGCAGAGGGUUACUAAUGGCCACGUAGCAAUCAUAGGCCAUUACCAAGAGGAGGAAGCACUCACAGCCCCCAGCACAAGGAAGAAGCCCAUCUGUGUGGCACAGGUUACUUCGUUAUAAAGAAAUGGCAGAGAAAGCAGUAUGUGAAGAUGACCUGUCUUGGGGAACCUUCUCCUGCAUUUCUCCUUUCAGCUGCUGGUGCAGCAACAGCCACAGCAAUCAAAAGAAAUGUUGCUGUUUCCUGCCCACAAUGAUCCAUGAUGACCUGUAAUGAUGCACCUUCCAUCUGAAUGCAGAACUCCUCUCAGAGACAUUUUAGAACUUAGAGCUGCAGAGGAUUGCUAUUCUUCAGGUGUGUUCAUUGUGUAUAAAUGCACUGCCUUCCUGGUUGUAUUCCUCCUAAAUCAGCUGAAAACCUUUCUUCACAUUUUUUUGCCUCAACAUUGAGCACUUGUGAUUGCACAUGUCUGGCCACAGUAGAUUACUAAAGCUGUGGAUGUUACAGCAGACUUGUAUCAAACAGAAUCAUUUCCUGAAACAUUUGGACUGUGACUAAAGAAAGUAUCCCUCCAUAGGGGAUGUAGUUGUAGGUUUUUAAACAUGUAAACUUUGGGCCAUAUUUAGGUCUAUAUCAUGGACAAAACAAUAUAACCUGGACCGAGGACAUAGGGAAAAUUACCCAGAUAGAUGUUCUUAGCCAGCAUGAUGUAGGAGGCAAUGCUCUGUCUCAAAUGAAGAUGAGCCUUUCCUUCCAAUUGUUCUGUUGAUCUUUGCACUGAGCCCAGUACAUGUAGCCUUGAUGGGUUCAUGACACAGUCAUUAUUUAGGCUGUGCCCUGCUCCAAAUGGGAAUGGGUUUGACUUGCAUUCUGGAUGCUUCAGAAAGCCAUCUGUGACACCAUCACCGUGUGCUCAUCCUCAAGAAGACAGGCACACAGGUAGAUGCAGUAUGUGUGAAAUUGUGUAUACACUAACAAUUGUGUACAAGUGCAGCAGAGAUGGGAGGACCCUCGGCAUGGCCCUCAGUUGUACACACUGGGUGGCACUGAAAUCACUACCAAAAUUUCCUAUGCCUGGUGGUAUUUUUCUACACACUAGUGAAAACAGAUAGUGAGCAAUAGAAGAAGCAGUUUGUCACACUGUAUGUAAUGAUAAUCACAAAUGAGAUGUCCUAGGGAGAGUAUGUGAAUAGGGGAAAUCUCACUGAAAAAAUGGCUUCCAAAGUGGAGUGGGAAGAAGAGUUGGAUCAGAUGGGUGGGAGUCCAUUUGGAGAGCAGUGUGGACAGAGGGGGAUGGGAGGGUGAGGAGCAGAUCAAAGGCUGAG
rnacentral:lncRNA from 1 species